UUUCCGUAGGUGAACCUGCGGAAGAAUCAUUAACGAGUUAGGGUCUUCUAGGCCCGACCUCCCAACCCUUUGUUUACUGAACCAUUGUUGCCUCGGUGGGUCCGUCUUACGACCGCCGGGGGAUCGCCGCGAGGCGCCCCCUGCCAGCGCCCACCGAUAGCCCAACCUUUAAAACCCUUUGUGAAUCGUGUCUUAUGUCUAAAUUUAUGAUUAAACAAUCAAAACAAAACUUUCAACAACGGAUCUCUUGGUUCUG
rnacentral:misc_RNA from 1 species